UUUGAUCCUGGCUCAGAUUGAACGCUGGCGGCAUGCCUUACACAUGCAAGUCGAACGGCAGCACGGGAGCAAUCCUGGUGGCGAGUGGCGAACGGGUGAGUAAUAUAUCGGAACGUGCCCAGUAGUGGGGGAUAGCCCGGCGAAAGCCGGAUUAAUACCGCAUACGACCUGUGGGUGAAAGCGGGGGAUCGCAAGACCUCGCGCUAUUGGAGCGGCCGAUAUCAGAUUAGCUAGUUGGUGGGGUAAAGGCCUACCAAGGCGACGAUCUGUAGCUGGUCUGAGAGGACGACCAGCCACACUGGGACUGAGACACGGCCCAGACUCCUACGGGAGGCAGCAGUGGGGAAUUUUGGACAAUGGGCGCAAGCCUGAUCCAGCCAUGCCGCGUGUGGGAAGAAGGCCUUCGGGUUGUAAACCACUUUUGUCAGGGAAGAAACGGCCUUUUCUAAUACAGGGGGCUAAUGACGGUACCUGAAGAAUAAGCACCGGCUAACUACGUGCCAGCAGCCGCGGUAAUACGUAGGGUGCAAGCGUUAAUCGGAAUUACUGGGCGUAAAGCGUGCGCAGGCGGCUUUGCAAGACAGAUGUGAAAUCCCCGGGCUCAACCUGGGAACUGCAUUUGUGACUGCAUGGCUAGAGUACGGUAGAGGGGGAUGGAAUUCCGCGUGUAGCAGUGAAAUGCGUAGAUAUGCGGAGGAACACCGAUGGCGAAGGGCAAUCCCCUGGACCUGUACUGACGCUCAUGC
rnacentral:rRNA from 1 species